UACGGAGGGUGCGAGCGUUGUCCGGAAUCAUUGGGCGUAAAGGGCGCGUAGGUGGCCCAGUAAGCGUGCGGUGAAAGCUCGGGCUCAACCCCGAGUCGGCCGUGCGAACUACUGGGCUGGAGCACUGUAGAGGCAGGCGGAAUUCCUGGUGUAGCGGUGGAAUGCGCAGAUAUCAGGAGGAACACCAAUGGCGAAGGCAGCUCGCUGGAACGGUACUGACGCUGUGGCGCGAAAGCGUGGGGAGCGAACAGG
rnacentral:rRNA from 1 species